AUGCCAAUGAGGAUUGUAAUUAAACAUAUCUGGAAUUACCGUCUGAAUUCACCAUUGAUGUCAGAUCGACUAUCUGAGGCUUUUC